AACGAACGCUGGCGGCGCGUUUAAGCAUGCAAGUCGAACGGCAAGGAGAGUAGCAAUACUUUCCCUAGAGUGGCGAACGGGUGAGUAACACGUAGGUGAUCUACCCCUGGAUGGGGGAUAGUCCGCGGAAACACGGGGUAAUACCGCAUGAGGCCUUGGGGGUAAAGCCCUGAGGUGAAAGCCCCAACUGGAGCGUCUGGGGAUGAGCCUGCGGCCCAUUAGGCAGUUGGCGGGGUAAAGGCCCACCAAACCGACGAUGGGUAGCCGGCCUGAGAGGGUGUCCGGCCACACUGGAACUGAGACACGGUCCAGACUCCUACGGGAGGCAGCAGCUAAGAAUCUUCCGCAAUGGGGGAAACCCUGACGGAGCGACGCCGCGUGGACGAUGAAGGCCGUAAGGUUGUAAAGUCCUUUUGCGGGCGAAGAAUAAGGCGGGGAGUGGAAAGCCCCGCUGAUGACGUUAGCCCGCGAAUAAGCCCCGGCCAAUUACGUGCCAGCAGCCGCAGUAAGAC
rnacentral:rRNA from 1 species